rnacentral:rRNA from 1 species
GAUGAACGCUGGCGGCGUGCCUAAUACAUGCAAGUCGAGCGAACAGACGAGGAGCUUGCUCCUCUGACGUUAGCGGCGGACGGGUGAGUAACACGUGGAUAACCUACCUAUAAGACUGGGAUAACUUCGGGAAACCGGAGCUAAUACCGGAUAAUAUAUUGAACCGCAUGGUUCAAUAGUGAAAGACGGUUUUGCUGUCACUUAUAGAUGGAUCCGCGCCGCAUUAGCUAGUUGGUAAGGUAACGGCUUACCAAGGCAACGAUGCGUAGCCGACCUGAGAGGGGGAUCGGCCACCCUGGAACUGGGCCACGGUCCAGACUCCUCCGGGAGGCAGCAGUAGGGAAUCUUCCGCAAGGGGCGAAAGCCUGACGGGGCAACGCCGCGUGAGUGAUGAAGGUCUUCGGAUCUUAAAACUCUGUUAUUAGGGAAGAACAAAUGUGGAAGUAACUAUGCACGUAUUGACGGUACCUAAUCAGAAAGCCACGGCUAACUACGUG